AUCUGUUGUCUUUUUUUUUUUUUUUUCCUGCCUCUACUAGUGUUCCAUGCAAAAGGGAAUUUUUAGUUCUGAGGAUGGGAAAAAAUGCAGUGAUAUACUUCUGACCACUGCCUACAUAUAAACUGCAUUUCUACGUGAAAAUCUCAGAGGAAGACACUGCUGUUCAGAUAUAAUUAAUGGUGGACUGAAAUCAGCAUCUUCGUUUCAAGACCCGGGAACAAUAUAUUAUACAUCCGUUUUGCAACAAGGGUUGUUAAAAUAAUGCCUAAGGUAGCAUAACUUAAUCUGAAAGAGAAAUACAGAAACCCUGAAAUCAAGCAUAAUUUCUCUCCUGUAAAUCUCCUGCUAGUAGAUCCUGUCAGCUCAAAUGUCUCUCAAAGUCACCCUGAAAAGACUGCAACCACAGCUGAAUACAAGCACUUUUUCAGAAUCAUAUGCAAGGUAAUGUUUUUGUUCUUUGCUCUUUACUUUGCCAUGAUUAGACUCCCUAUAGAUAGAACUGAGACAGAA
ensembl:lncRNA